CAGCCGCGGUAAUACGUAGGGUGCGAGCGUUAAUCGGAAUUACUGGGCGUAAAGCGUGCGCAGGCGGUUAUGUAAGACAGAGGUGAAAUCCCCGGGCUCAACCUGGGAACGGCCUUUGUGACUGCAUGGCUAGAGUGCGGCAGAGGGGGAUGGAAUUCCGCGUGUAGCAGUGAAAUGCGUAGAUAUGCGGAGGAACACCGAUGGCGAAGGCAAUCCCCUGGGCCUGCACUGACGCUCAUGCACGAAAGCGUGGGGAGCAAACAGGAUUAGAUACCCUGGUAGUCCACGCCCUAAACGAUGUC
rnacentral:rRNA from 1 species